rnacentral:rRNA from 1 species
AACGAACGCUGGCGGCAUGCCUAACACAUGCAAGUCGAACGAGACCUUCGGGUCUAGUGGCGCACGGGUGCGUAACGCGUGGGAACCUGCCCUUAGGUUCGGAAUAACUCCCCGAAAGGGGUGCUAAUACCGGAUAAUGUCUUCGGACCAAAGAUUUAUCGCCUUUGGAUGGGCCCGCGUUGGAUUAGCUAGUUGGUAGGGUAAAAGCCUACCAAGGCGACGAUCCAUAGCUGGUCUGAGAGGAUGAUCAGCCACACUGGGACUGAGACACGGCCCAGACCCCCGCGGGAGGCAGCAGUGGGGAAUAUUGGAAAAUGGGCGAAAGCCUGAUCCAGCAAUGCCGGGGGAGUGAUGAAGGCCUUAGGGUGGUAAAGCUCUUUUACCCGGGAUGAUAAUGACAGUACCGGGAGAAUAAGCCCCGGCUAACUCCGU